GGGGGGGGGGGGGUGCCUAAUACAUGCAAGUCGAGCGAAUGGAUUAAGAGCUUGCUCUUAUGAAGUUAGCGGCGGACGGGUGAGUAACACGUGGGUAACCUGCCCAUAAGACUGGGAUAACUCCGGGAAACCGGGGCUAAUACCGGAUAACAUUUUGAACCGCAUGGUUCGAAAUUGAAAGGCGGCUUCGGCUGUCACUUAUGGAUGGACCCGCGUCGCAUUAGCUAGUUGGUGAGGUAACGGCUCACCAAGGCAACGAUGCGUAGCCGACCUGAGAGGGUGAUCGGCCACACUGGGACUGAGACACGGCCCAGACUCCUACGGGAGGCAGCAGUAGGGAAUCUUCCGCAAUGGACGAAAGUCUGACGGAGCAACGCCGCGUGAGUGAUGAAGGCUUUCGGGUCGUAAAACUCUGUUGUUAGGGAAGAACAAGUGCUAGUUGAAUAAGCUGGCACCUUGACGGUACCUAACCAGAAAGCCACGGCUAACUACGUGCCAGCAGCCGCGGUAAUACGUAGGUGGCAAGCGUUAUCCGGAAUUAUUGGGCGUAAAGCGCGCGCAGGUGGUUUCUUAAGUCUGAUGUGAAAGCCCACGGCUCAACCGUGGAGGGUCAUUGGAAACUGGGAGACUUGAGUGCAGAAGAGGAAAGUGGAAUUCCAUGUGUAGCGGUGAAAUGCGUAGAGAUAUGGAGGAACACCAGUGGCGAAGGCGACUUUCUGGUCUGUAACUGACACUGAGGCGCGAAAGCGUGGGGAGCAAACAGGAUUAGAUCCUUGGGU
rnacentral:rRNA from 1 species